CAUUUAACGACUACUGUGUGUUAGCGUCUGCACUAAAGACGUGGUAUGAUCAUCUCAUUAAUCCUCAUGACAAACUGAAAGCCUCUGUUGUCUCCCCCACUUUACAGGUGAGGAAACACACCUAUCUAAGUACACAGAGCCAGUGCCCGCAGAUCUGGGAUUUGAAUUCAAAGUGCCGAGUCCCAAGUCCCAGCCUUUACCACCAGGCUAUACCGUUUCCAAACAUACUCUCAACACCAGAACAUGGAGCGAGGGAAAAAGGUACUGUUUGCAGUUGUGAGACAGAGCGUAAAGGCCCCGGAAUGAACCAGAUCAGAAGGAGAGAGGCUACUGAGCCCUGA
rnacentral:lncRNA from 1 species